CCUACGGGAGGCAGCAGUGGGGAAUUUUGGACAAUGGGCGAAAGCCUGAUCCAGCAAUGCCGCGUGCAGGACGAAGGCCUUCGGGUUGUAAACUGCUUUUGUACGGAGCGAAACGGUCUCCUCUAAUACGGGGGGGCUAAUGACGGUACCGUAAGAAUAAGCACCGGCUAACUACGUGCCAGCAGCCGCGGUAAUACGUAGGGUGCGAGCGUUAAUCGGAAUUACUGGGCGUAAAGCGUGCGCAGGCGGUUAUAUAAGACAGAUGUGAAAUCCCCGGGCUCAACCUGGGACCUGCAUUUGUGACUGUAUAGCUAGAGUACGGUAGAGGGGGAUGGAAUUCCGCGUGUAGCAGUGAAAUGCGUAGAUAUGCGGAGGAACACCGAUGGCGAAGGCAAUCCCCUGGACCUGUACUGACGCUCAUGCACGAAAGCGUGGGGAGCAAACAGGAUUAGAUACCCUGGUAGUCCACGCCCUAAACGAUGUCAACUGGUUGUUGGGUCUUCACUGACUCAGUAACGAAGCUAACGCGUGAGUUGCCGCCUGGGGNGCGCGCGAGUGUUAGAUAAAGUUAGAGNGNGNGNGNGCGAGCGACGACGAGGAGAGG
rnacentral:rRNA from 1 species